AUGCAUGUCUAAGUAUAAGCAAUUAUACAGCGAAACUGCGAAUGGCUCAUUAUAUAAGUUAUCGUUUAUUUGAUAGUACCUUACUACUUGGAUAACCGUGGUAAUUCUAGAGCUAAUACAUGCUAAAAAUCCCGACUCCGGAAGGGAUGUAUUUAUUAGAUUAAAAACCAAUGCCCUCUGGGCUCCUUGGUGAUUCAUGAUAACUUUUCGAAUCGCACGGCCUUGCGCCGGCGAUGGUUCAUUCAAAUUUCUUCCCUAUCAACUUUCGAUGUUUGGGUAUUGGCCAAACAUGGUCGCAACGGGUAACGGAGGGUUAGGGCUCGACCCCGGAGAAGGAGCCUGAGAAACGGCUACUACAUCCAAGGAAGGCAGCAGGCGCGCAAAUUACCCAAUCCCGAUUCGGGGAGGUAUUGACAAUAAAUACUGAUACAGGGCUCUUUUGGGUCUUGUAAUUGGAAUGAGUACAAUUUAAAUCCCUUAACGAGGAACAAUUGGAGGGCAAGUCUGGUGCCAGCAGCCGCGGUAAUUCCAGCUCCAAUAGCGUAUAUUAAAGUUGUUGUGGUUAAAAAGCUCGUANUUGAACCUUGGGCCUGGCUGGCCGGUCCGCCUCACCGCGUGUACUGGUCCGGCCGGGCCUUUCCCUCUGUGGAACCUCAUGCCCUUCACUGGGUGUGGCGGGGAAACAGGACUUUUACUUUGAAAAAAUUAGAGUGCUCCAGGCAGGCCUAUGCUCGAAUACAUUAGCAUGGAAUAAUGAAAUAGGACGUGUGGUUCUAUUUUGUUGGUUUCUAGGACCGCCGUAAUGAUUAAUAGGGACAGUCGGGGGCAUCAGUAUUCAAUUGUCAGAGGUGAAAUUCUUGGAUUUAUUGAAAACUAACUACUGCGAAAGCAUUUGCCAAGGAUGUUUUCAUUAAUCAGGAACGANAGUUAGGGGAUCGAAGACGAUCAGAUACCGUCGUAGUCUUAACCAUAAACUAUG
rnacentral:rRNA from 1 species